UUCAGCCCUCCACGGGAAAAAGUCAAGCGUAUGCCUGAUUGCUACACUCCGUUCCUGUGGAGAAAUAUAUCUUGCUUGGCUUUAUGAUAAAACUGACAGACAUUGCAAAAUGCUGAACCACACCGCUUGUUGCGGGGGAAGCAACGUCUUUAAGACGGAAACGAUGUGUCAAGUCACAUGCCUACCCAACAAAAAGCCAAAAGCAUUAUGCAGUCAGCUGCCAUAUCUUGGUAAAUGCACCCACAGAAUCAAAAGAUGGUACUUUUCUUGGAUUGACAACAGAUGCCUUCUGUUCACGAAAAGCCUCUGCGCAAAAGGCGGUAACCGUUUUUCAUCGUAUCAAGAGUGCAUGAAAAGAUGCAGCUACGGUGUUCAUGGAUAAAAACUUGAAAGACACAGCAGUCAUAGCGAGUGAGUUGCCUGCGGGAAGACACAAAUCAAGGUACAGACCCUGAGUUGGCAUAGCUUUCAAGCUACACUUCUUGAGAACACAACAAGCAUGGAAUUACACAAUAAAUGAAAACAUUUUACAACA